CAGGAUGACUCAGAAGCAUCAGUCUCUGACUACGAAGUUUUCCUAAGUUUCAGAGGACCAGAUUCUCGGCAGGGCCUCGCCGAUGUCCUCUACAACGACAUGAGAACUGCCGGGAUCCGUGUUUUUAGAGACGACGAUGAGCUUGGCACCGGUGAUGAGAUCCGCAAGAUUCUACCGGCUAUCGAGAACUCCAAGAUAUGCGUACCAAUCUUCUCCAGCACCUUUGCUGCCAGUGCGUGGUGCCUCCGAGAAGUUGAAAGAAUGGUCGAGUUCAAGAAAGAGAUCAUGCCGAUUUUCUACACGGCCACACCAGACGAUGUUAAGCUACGCACGGAAUUAUUCAAGAAGGAACUACGGAAGCACGAGAAGAAGCAUGGAAAAGAGCAAGUGAAGAAGUGGGAGGAGGCUCUCAAAGUGGUCGCCGGAAUCAAAGGGCAAGAAGUGAAGACUACAGGGAGUCUACUUUAAAAAUAUUUAAUAAUUAGCAAGUUCAGGCAAGUUCGCGGCUUUGAGAAGAGCACUUCAUGAGAGAGGAUGUGAAAUAGGCGCUCGUAUGGGGGAAUCCACAGAUGGGAGGAGACUUGGAACGAGGAAGGGGGAAAGGAAAGGUCUGGAUUCGGUGGCAGUUUCCCAUUUGGAAUGAGGCAAAGGGGAGAGAGUGCUCGGGCUUGAUGACUGUUGAUGGGCUUGAAAGGAUGUAUUGGAAGCCGCGUGCGAAAAUGUCUACACAUUUUUAUUAUGGAUUUGCGAAAUUCAGCAUGUUGUUUGUCAACACACUUCUGCGCAAGUUGAAGGUGAAAACAAAAUAUUUGGCUGGCAGCCUAGUUAAAAGAGAUGAUCAUGAAGAGGCUGUAAUGGAACUGUUGGACAUCGACUCAAGUGAUGUACGAAUCAUUGGCAUCCAUGGAAUGGGCGGCAUCGGUAAGACGACUCUUGCCAAGGUCAUCUUCAACCAACUCUCAGCUAGAUUCGACUGUUGCAGCUUCCUUGAGAACAUCCAAGAAUCCUUAAGGCUUUAUGGUCUCGAAUACUUGCAAAAGCAGUUGGUGGAAGAUCUCGAUCCAAAGUUGAAAAACUUUCAAAAGAUCGACACAAUCACAAUUCUCCGAGAAAAAUUUCGUAGGAGGAGGGCUCUCAUUGUCCUUGAUGAUGUUAAUCACAGAAAACAAAUAGAGAUGAUAGUGGGGAUGUUGGGUUGGUUUGGUUCUAGAAGCAGGAUAAUCAUAACGACUAGGGACAAAAGUAUUUUCACCGGAGAAGCUCGUACUCUUGCUAUGCGGGAGAUGGAUCCUGACCAAGCUCUCCAACUCUUCAGUAGACAUGCCUUUGAAGAAGACUCUCCUCCAAGUGACUUCCGAAUUCUUUCAGAGGAAGUUAUCCCUCUUACUGGAAGACUUCCUUUGGCCAUCGAAGUCAUAGGUUCCCUUCUUUGUAACUGUGAGAAGGAGAGAUGGAAAGCGACAAUUGACGAGCUAAAGAAUGUGCCCCCUCAAGAUGUUUUAAAAAAGCUGAAGAUAAGUUUUGAUGCAUUGGAGUAUAACCACAAACAGAUAUUUCUUGACAUAGCCUGCUUUUUCGUCAACAAGGAGGGAUCGAAUGCAAUUCCAAUGUGGGAAGCUUGUAACUUUUACCCUCAUGUUGGAAUUGCGGUCCUUGUUUUCAAGUCUUUGGUGAAAAUUACGGAAAAUAAAUUUCAAAUGCAUGACCUGAUCAAAGCUCUUGGAAGGGAACUUGUUCGCGAGGGAUGCUUUGAUGAUCCUGCCAAGGGUAGCAGGAUAUGGUCAAGCAAAGAAGCAAAGGAGCUAUUGAAGAUAAAGCAGAUAACAUAUGAAAAAGAAAAAGUUCAAGGGCUCUUUCUGGAGAAAUUAUAUGGGGACGGCAUUCUCAAACAUGAGCAGUUUUCAGGUUAUCAAAAUCUAAGAUUACUGAAAUUGGUGGGUGCAAAGCUGACAGGUGACUUUGAGAAUCUCCUUCCAAAGUUAAAGUGGUUCACGUGGCAACGAUGUCCUUCCGAUUUCGUUGCGACCAAUCUAACAUUGGAGAAUUUAGUGGUUCUUGACCUUUCCGACAGUUUUAUCACUGAAAACUGGGCUGGUUGGAACAUGAUUGAGAUAGCAAAGAAUUUGAAGGCCUUAGACCUCACUGGGUGCUGUAACUUGACAAGUACACCUGACUUGUCCAACAAUGACGCUUUAGAGAAAUUGAUUCUCAGAGGAUGCCGUAAUUUAGCUGAAAUACACGGCUCCAUCAAUAAGCUGACAAGACUGAAGCAUCUUGAUCUUCAAGGCUGUCCUUCUCUGAGAGGAUUGCCCGAAGAGAUAGGUUCGCUGGAAGAUUUGGAAAAAAUUUUGGUGGACGGGAAUCAUGGAGCUACUUUCCACUUACCAGAAUCAAUUGGUAAUUUACACUCUCUAUCUGUCAUGAAAUUACAUCGGGUGGAAAUUACGAGAAUUCCCAACUCUAUUGGAGGAUUGGUGAAUCUCACGCACCUCUCUAUGCGCGAUUGUAGUGGCCUGAAGACACUUCCAGAUGUAAUCGGAGAUUUGAAAUCACUAGUUAAGUUAGACAUGUCUGGUACAGAGUUGAGUGCAUUGCCUGACUCUCUUGGGGAUUUGGAAUCAUUAGUUGAGUUAGAGCUGUCCAACACAGAGUUAAGUGCGUUGCCUGACUCUGUUGGACGACUAAGUAAACUCCAGCGGUUGCAGUUAUAUUCUACGAAGAUGGAGGAGCUUCCUGACUCUCUUGGGGAUUUGGAAUCAUUAGUUAAUUUAGAACUGUCCAACACUGAGUUAAGUGCGUUGCCUGACUCUGUUGGACGACUAAGUAAACUCCAGUGGUUGGGGUUAGAUUCAACGAAGAUAGAGGAGCUUCCGGACUCUCUUGGUGAUUUGGAAUCAUUGGUUAGUUUACAGCUGUCCAGCACAAAUUUAAGUGCGUUGCCUGACUCUGUUGGACGACUAAGUAAACUCCAGCGGUUGCGGUUAUAUUCAAUGAAGAUAGAGGAGCUUCCGGACUCUCUUUGGGAUUUGGAAUCAUUGGUUAGUUUACAGCUGUUCAGCACAAAUUUAAGUGCGUUGCCUGACUCUGUUGGACGACUAAGUAAACUCCAGCGGUUGCAGUUAUAUUCAACGAAGAUGGAGGAGCUUCCUGACUCUCUUUGGGAUUUGGAAUCAUUAGUUGAGUUAGAGCUGUCCAACACAGAGUUAAGUGCGUUGCCUGACUCCGUUGGACGACUAAGUAAACUCGAGCGGUUGCGGUUAGAUUCAACGAAAAUAGAGGAGCUUCCUGACUCUCUUUGGGAUUUGGAAUCAUUGAUUGACUUAAAUCUGGACAACACAGAGUUAAGUGCGUUGCCUGACUCCGUUGGAAGACUAAGUAAACUCCAGUCGUUGCGGUUGAAUUCAACGAAGAUAGAGGAGCUUCCUGACUCUCUUGGGGAUUUGGAAUCAUUGGUUGCGUUACAGCUGUCCAACACAAAUUUAAGGGCGUUGCCUGACUCUGUUGGAAGACUAAGUAAACUCUGGUGGUUGCGGUUGAGUUCAACGAAGAUAGAGGAGCUUCCUGACUCUCUUUGGGAUUUGGAAUCAUUAGUUGAGUUAGAGCUGUCCAACACAAAUUUAAGUGCGUUGCCUGACUCCGUUGGACGACUAAGUAAACUCCAGUCGUUGCGGUUGAGUUCAACGAAGAUAGAGGAGCUUCCUGACUCUCUUGGGGAUUUGGAAUCAUUAGUUUCGUUAGUCCUGUCCAACACAAAUUUAAGUGCGUUGCCUGACUCCGUUGGACGACUAAGUAAACUCCAGUCGUUGCGGUUGAGUUCAACGAAGAUAGAGGAGCUUCCUGACUCUCUUUGGGAUUUGGAAUCGUUGGAAACAUUGGAUCUGAGUUCAUCCAAAUUGAGGAUUCUACCCGAUUCUGUGGGAGAGAUGUCUGAAUUAAGGCAAUUGUCGCUGGAUGGAUGCAACAUAAGAAAGUUGCCUAGUUCUAUCGGGAAGUUAGCAAAGCUAAGAGAUGCGUGUGGGGACGUUUCUAUGGAUUAGAAGUUGAGGAAAAAAUCCAGAGAGAGAGCGAAGAUUCAGAACCGCAGCAAUGGCGGGGUUGCAGAGAUCUGCAGUGUCUUUCAGGAGGCAGGGCUCCUUACUCCUCAGGCCUUGUGUGGGACGACAGGUUCCUCUCGGGGAAGCUCAACCAAGUGAACAAUGAAGCUGGCAACGAGGCCAACAAGCCGAAAGAUCCCGACGGCAGGCAAGAACCGCCCCGUGAUUCCGAGAAGCUGUCAAGGACUGCCUGCAAUCCUCUUCCCUCGAUUGAGACGGCGGCCCUGGAGAGGAACCACAACCACAACCGCACUUGACGACCUCUUCUCCCAGAGCACGGAUUGAGUUCUUUGCCCGAGGAAGUUUCCUUAACCAAUAAAUCAUCAUGAGAGAGGAAAAGAUGCAGGGUGCGAAGGAGAUGCAGGAUGCGGAGGAGAUGCAGGAAGCAGAGGAGAUGCCAGAACAUUGGAAGGAGAUUUACCGUGAAACGUACGAAUGGCAAUUGGAAAGUCUCGAUAAUGAGCACAAAGUUUAUCUCUCAGAGCCAUUUCCAUAAAUUGUCGUGUUACUCAUAAGAUCGGUAUACACUCGUCCGUUUCUUUUCUUUUAACUGGCUGAGUUACUUGUAGAUGUACCUUUGCACCCGAUUUGAUGAUUCUCGAGUAGUGCUGGACCGAGAAGUUCUCAACAGAGUCGGUUUCGAGAUCAGCAUGCAAGCGCUCUGCAGUAAACUUCUUGAUCACUAUCAAUCAUGUGAAAACUCAUCAUUUGCUAAGCCUUUCAGAAGAAACAGGAAUUUGUGGACAGGAUGGCGAAUUUCAAACUCUAGUUCUUUUUCUUACAUAGGCGACGAAAAAGUCGAAUAACAUCUGAUUUCAUGCUGUUCUUCUAUUUCAUUUUUCAAUUGUUACAAACUUUGGUACUUCUUCUACAAUAUCACGAACUGACAUCAGCUCUUGUGUUCAGUUGUAAUGCUGUACCGUUUUGGACUCCUAUGACGUGGCCGUGGCAUCCCAUAGAUCAUGUGCAAAUGACUUUCUAUCUUCUCCGAUUGUUCGUUCGUUGGGCAAGUUCACCGAGCCAUGUUCAAUGCAGGACCCGCCCUUUCUCGAAUUCUUUGCCAAUCGAUGAAUGAACUCAGAGAUUGCACCUUAAACUUACUCAAAUGCGUCACCUCUUAUGAACCUUAUGGUGAGUGAUAGUGCGCAUAUCUUCGCAUUGCAGCACAUUACGUUUUCUCUUUUGGGCAAAAAAAUGAGUUCUGACUUAUGUAAUUUCUUGAAUAUGGGUCUCUGUUGAACUUGGUAUUUUAUGAUCAAAAGAGAAUCCCUGUAUUGGCUAUUA